rnacentral:rRNA from 1 species
GAUGAACGCUAGCGGCAGGCUUAAUACAUGCAAGUCGGAGGUGAUUCUGUUUCGGCAGAUGAAACUGGCGCACGGGUGCGUAACGCGUAUGCAACUUACCUUUCACUGGGGGACAACACUAGGAAACUGGUGCUAAUACCGCGUAACAAUUUAGGAGGCAUCUCCUGAAUUUAAAAGAAUAUCGGUGAAAGAUGGGCAUGCGUCCCAUUAGCUAGUUGGUAAGGUAAUGGCUUACCAAGGCCACGAUGGGUAGGGGAACUGAGAGGUUGGUCCCCCACACUGGUACUGAGAUACGGACCAGACUCCUACGGGAGGCAGCAGUAAGGAAUAUUGGUCAAUGGGCGCAAGCCUGAACCAGCCAUGCCGCGUGCAGGAUGAAGCCCCUCGUUGGGUGUAAACUGCUUUUAUUAGGGAAGAAUUCGCCCUUGCGAGGGUAAUUGACGGUACCUAAUGAAUAAGCACCGGCUAACUACG